CAAAUUUGGCAAUUAUUUACAAAGCGGACGUCUCGCCGAUUUCAAUGAGCUUGAAAUAUGUUAUCGAGUUUCCAUUUCGAUGACGGCAUGAUUUUCAUAAUCGAAUGGUUUCAUAAUUUUCUUUUUCGAUAUCGUGGCUGAAGUAUCUUCAAUUUCGAAUAACAAUAAUAUAAUAUAGAGCUUAAUACGAAUUUUAUCUGUCUUAUUAUCCCAUACCUUAGCUUAUUGCACAAUUGGCGUUAUAGUUAUGUAACUCAAACUCAACCCAUUAAUUUUUCAUGUGAAUUGAAAAUGAUUAUCGAAAUUUAGUUAGGUUGGGUUAUAGAAAAGUAUGGACGCUAUGAGGAAGCUAAACCCGAACGACAGUAAUAUAUAUAUAAG
rnacentral:misc_RNA from 1 species